rnacentral:rRNA from 1 species
AGACUCCUACGGGAGGCAGCAGUAGGGAAUCUUGCGCAAUGGGCGAAAGCCUGACGCAGCCAUGCCGCGUGAAUGAUGAAGGUCUUAGGAUUGUAAAAUUCUUUCACCGGGGACGAUAAUGACGGUACCCGGAGAAGAAGCCCCGGCUAACUUCGUGCCAGCAGCCGCGGUAAUACGAAGGGGGCUAGCGUUGCUCGGAAUUACUGGGCGUAAAGGGAGCGUAGGCGGAUAGUUUAGUCAGAGGUGAAAGCCCAGGGCUCAACCUUGGAAUUGCCUUUGAUACUGGCUAUCUUGAGUAUGGAAGAGGUAUGUGGAACUCCGAGUGUAGAGGUGAAAUUCGUAGAUAUUCGGAAGAACACCAGUGGCGAAGGCGACAUACUGGUCCAUUACUGACGCUGAGGCUCGAAAGCGUGGGGAGCAAACAGGAUUAGAUACCCUGGUAGUCCACGCCGUAAACGAUGAGUGCUAGUUGUCGGCAUGCAUGCAUGUCGGUGACGCAGCUAACGCAUUAAGCACUCCGCCUGGGGAGUACGGUCGCAAGAUUAAAACUCAAAGGAAUUGACGG